rnacentral:rRNA from 1 species
CGGGGUCGAGAUGUGUAGGUGCUGCAUGGUUGUCGUCAGCUCGUGCCGUGAGGUGUCGGCUUAAGUGCCAUAACGAGCGCAACCUCAUCAUUAGUUACCAUCAGGUAAGGCUGGGGACUCUAAUGAGACUGCCAUCGUAAGAUGUGAGGAAGGUGGGGAUGACGUCAAAUCAGCACGGCCCUUACGUCCGGGGCGACACACGUGUUACAAUGGGUGGUACAAAGGGCAGCUACCUGGCGACAGGAUGCUAAUCUCCAAAACCACUCUCAGUUCGGAUCGGAGUCUGCAACUCGACUCCGUGAAGCUGGAUUCGCUAGUAAUCGCGCAUCAGCCACGGCGCGGUGAAUACGUUCCCGGGCCUU